CAGCCAUUGGUCAGCAGUGGGACCCUCCUCUAAGUUAGCGACCUUUGGGAGCUGCUGUCAAGAAGCAACCCUUAGGAGUCAUGCUUCAGCCACUGAUCCUCUAGGAGCUUUGGCCCUGGUGUCUUAUAAAUAUGGAAAGUUCCAUCGGACAGACAACGACUGGGCAGUGUGGCCUGCUGAGGAGAGAGAGCUGACCCAACAGACACUCGAUCUGACCGGAGCAAGUCCUGUAGAGCCUGCACUGGAGAGACUUUGGUGACCACCCAGCCACCACCCUGGCUGUGCCUAGACACACCUGGGAGCUUAAAAUAAUCAUGUCUGGGUUCCAUCCUUGAAGGUUUAAUUCAAGUUGUCUGGGGUAGAAUUCUUUCUGAAGUUCUUUGAGAAAAAACAGCUAAAUGUCACCCAUGACCACAGACCUCCCUGGGACCUCAAAGUCAGCGCAAGAGAUGAAACGGCACCUGCAGGCUGAACAGUUCUCUUAAGGCAGGAAAUCGGCACAGUUCCCAUGGAAGCUCCAGUUAAAACCUGAGGCACUGGCUUCAGUGGAAAUUUUGUUGGAUGAAGUGUUCUACCAGGUCAUUUUGGAUCAAAGACGCUUCCACAGCCUUCGUUGCUCCUACAGCCUGUAUUCCUUUUAAUUGUGUCUCUCUACAUUGUUGUUGUCUAGUUGCUAAGUUGUGUCUCUCUACACCUGAGUGUAUACCUUGCAGGAUGCAUUUCUGAAGGGUCUCUGCCAUGUUGCCUUAUUUUUGCGUGUGCCAGGUGUGCUUGACUCCUUUACAUAUGCAAUCUAUUCUCAUUUUUGCAGUAACUGUGGUGUUUAAAGUCACAGUGGACACUGAAUUAGAGAAUACUGUACCCAUAUUCCCAGAGGAAAGUCAGGGUUACGUUCCUUCAAGCCGCAACAUUUUCAUCAACUGAUCAGUAUAUAACUUGUUUUAUCUGAGUUUCUGUUUAAAGACACCUUGUUUAAUAGAUAUUGUGGACUCAUUAACAUUGAACUCACAGCCAACAGCACACUCACACGUGCCUGGACAAAGCUUAUCUAACACAUGUAUUUUCUCUGAACGAUCCUUCCACAGCUUUCUGCAACUACAAACACCAGUCAGCACUUUUCAGCACUUUGCUUAGGGGCCACUAUGUGCAACAGAAUUAUUAAUAAAAAAGCACAAAAAUGCAAAAAACUUAACCCUAAGUAGACUUCAAAAAGAACACUUGUUUAACAGUCUGAAGGUGAAACAAGAAGGCAGAGCAUUGUCUUGCUCCAUACCACCUGGGAACAUGACAUGGGGAGGACUAAAAUUCUUUAUCACAUGUGCCAGAAUGACCACAAAAGUGCCCUGAGUAUUGAUUUUGGGGGUUACAAAUGAAUUUAGCAAGUUGGAAUAUUCUCAAAUUGUGAGGAUGAACUGUGUUAAUAUGUCUAAUCUUCACAACAAAAGCACAAGGUAGGCACAAUCAUCCCUAAUCCUGAAGGCCUUUAGAAAAGUUACCAGCAAAUUCCAAAAAGGUCACUCCCAUUAUAACAGAUGACAAACCUGAGUCAUAAAGAGGGCAAGGUGACAUAGCUAGUAAGUAUCAAAAAUCCGGACUUAUGCCUAGUAUAUCUGGCUACACAGUUAACCAGAUAACCAUGAUACUCUUUGGGGAGUGCAAACUCAUCUGUGAACUAUAGAACUGACCCAGCCCAGAAUUUGCCCAUCAGAGGGAUGCUGAUAUAAUUUAAGAGGAAAAAAAACGAACAUUUCUGCAUAGUUUUAGGCAUAGUGGUUAGUCAUUAUACGUUUUUCCUGAGUUCCCUUAAAUCUGGAUUUCUCAAACUGUGUUCCAGGACUCCUGUCUUCAGAACAAUUUUUGUAAUGUAGAUUCUUGGAGAUUCUGGUUGAACUGGCAUGAGGUGAGGGCUACAUUUUCAGUAGAUUCUUCAAGGAAAUCUGAUGUUUUAGGAUUUUGAAAGCACUGUCUAAAAUUCAGUACCAUCUUGAAUAAAAAUGACAAAUUAAAAAUAUUUAUUUGUGAAAUCUGUAGCAUUUGAAGUCCUUCAAACUUCUUUUUAAGGUUCUCUUUUUUGUUUAUUUCCUUAAUAGGAUGGUGGGAGGA